CCUACGGGAGGCAGCAGUGAGGACUAUUGGUCAAUGGGCGGAAGCCUGAACCAGCCAAGUCGCGUGAGGGAAGACGGUUCUAUGGAUUGUAAACCUCUUUAGGCGGGGAGCAAUGCCGGGCACGUGUGCCCGGAGGGAGAGUACCUGCAGAAUAAUCAUGGGCUAACCCCGUGCCAGCAGCCGCGGUAAUACGGAGUGUGCGAGCAUUAUCCGGAUUUAUUGGGUGUAAGGGGUGCGUAGGCGGAUUUUUAAGUCCGCGGUAAAAUGUCCGGGCUCAACCCGGGCCGGCCGUUGAGACUGGGGAUCUUGAGUGGGCGAGAAGUAUGCGGAAUGCGUGGUGUAGCGGUGAAAUGCAUAGAUAUCACGCAGAACUCCGAUUGCGAAGGCAGCAUACCGGCGCCCGACUGACGCUGAGGCACGAAAGCGUGGGGAUCGAACAGGAUUAGAUACCCCAGUAGUC
rnacentral:rRNA from 1 species